AUUGAACGCUGGCGGCAUGCCUUACACAUGCAAGUCGAACGGCAGCACGGGAGCAAUCCUGGUGGCGAGUGGCGAACGGGUGAGUAAUAUAUCGGAACGUGCCCAGUCGUGGGGAUAACGUAGCGAAAGCUACGCUAAUACCGCAUACGAUCUAUGGAUGAAAGCGGGGGAUCGCAAGACCUCGCGCGAUUGGAGCGGCCGAUAUCAGAUUAGGUAGUUGGUGAGGUAAAGGCUCACCAAGCCGACGAUCUGUAGCUGGUCUGAGAGGACGACCAGCCACACUGGGACUGAGACACGGCCCAGACUCCUACGGGAGGCAGCAGUGGGGAAUUUUGGACAAUGGGCGCAAGCCUGAUCCAGCAAUGCCGCGUGCAGGAUGAAGGCCUUCGGUUGUAACUAGCUUUGUUACGGAACGAAACGGGUAGAGCUCUAAUACAGUUGUCUAAUGACGUACCGUAAGAAUAAGACACCGGCUAACUACGUACG
rnacentral:rRNA from 1 species